rnacentral:rRNA from 1 species
AACGAACGCUGGCGGCAUGCCUAACACAUGCAAGUCGAACGAGACCUUCGGGUCUAGUGGCGCACGGGUGCGUCACGCGUGGGAACCUGCCCUCAGGUUCGGAAUAACUCCCCGAAAGGGGUGCUAAUACCGGAUAAUGUCUUCGGACCAAAGAUUUAUCGCCUUUGGAUGGGCCCGCGUUGGAUUAGCUAGUUGGUAGGGUAAAAGCCUACCAAGGCGACGAUCCAUAGCUGGUCUGAGAGGAUGAUCAGCCACACUGGGACUGAGACACGGCCCAGACUCCUACGGGAGGCAGCAGUGGGGAAUAUUGGACAAUGGGCGAAGGCCUGAUCCAGCAAUGCCGCGUGAGUGAUGAAGGCCUUAGGGUUGUAAAGCUCUUUUACCCGGGAUGAUAAUGACAGUACCGGGAGAAUAAGCUCCGGCUAACUCCGUG